rnacentral:rRNA from 1 species
GUGGGGAAUAUUGGACAAUGGGCGAAAGCCUGAUCCAGCCAUGCCGCGUGUGUGAAGAAGGUCUUCGGAUUGUAAAGCACUUUAAGUUGGGAGGAAGGGCAGUAAGCUAAUACCUUGCUGUUUUGACGUUACCGACAGAAUAAGCACCGGCUAACUUCGUGCCAGCAGCCGCGGUAAUACGAAGGGUGCAAGCGUUAAUCGGAAUUACUGGGCGUAAAGCGCGCGUAGGUGGUUUUGUAAGUUGGAGGUGAAAUCCCCGGGCUCAACCUGGGAACUGCCUCCAAAACUGCAUGACUAGAGUACGGUAGAGGGUAGUGGAAUUUCCUGUGUAGCGGUGAAAUGCGUAGAUAUAGGAAGGAACACCAGUGGCGAAGGCGACUACCUGGACUGAUACUGACACUGAGGUGCGAAAGCGUGGGGAGCAAACAGGAUUAGAUACCCUUGUAGUCC